GAGUACCGGGUCUUCGGGCCCAUACUCCCACCCUUUGUGUACCUACCUGUUUUUGUUGCCUCGGCGGGGUCGAUCCCACGGGCCCACCGCCCGCGGGGGACCCGCCGGGGGGACACACCAAAACUCCUGUCAACAGUGACGUCUGAGCAGAAAAUAAACUAGUCAAAACUUUCAACAACGGAUCUCUUGGUUCU
rnacentral:misc_RNA from 1 species